ACGGGAGGCAGCAGUGGGGGAUAUUGCACAAUGGGGGAAACCCUGAUGCAGCGACGCCGCGUGAGUGAUGAAGUAUUUCGGUAUGUAAAGCUCUAUCAGCAGGGAAGAAAAUGACGGUACCUGACUAAGAAGCCCCGGCUAACUACGUGCCAGCAGCCGCGGUAAUACGUAGGGGGCAAGCGUUAUCCGGAUUUACUGGGUGUAAAGGGAGCGUAGACGGCAUGGCAAGUCUGAUGUGAAAGCUAUGGGCUCAACCCAUAAACUGCAUUGGAAACUGUCGCGCUAGAGUGUCGGAGAGGUAAGCGGAAUUCCUAGUGUAGCGGUGAAAUGCGUAGAUAUUAGGAGGAACACCAGUGGCGAAGGCGGCUUACUGGACUGUAACUGACGUUGAGGCUCGAAAGCGUGGGGAGCAAACAGGAUUAGAUACCCUGGUA
rnacentral:rRNA from 1 species